GAUGAACGCUGGCGGCGUGCCUAAUACAUGCAAGUCGAGCGAACAGACGAGGAGCUUGCUCCUCUGACGUUAGCGGCGGACGGGUGAGUAACACGUGGAUAACCUACCUAUAAGACUGGGAUAACUUCGGGAAACCGGAGCUAAUACCGGAUAAUAUAUUGAACCGCAUGGUUCAAUAGUGAAAGACGGUUUUGCUGUCACUUAUAGAUGGAUCCGCGCCGCAUUAGCUAGUUGGUAAGGUAACGGCUUACCAAGGCGACGAUGCGUAGCCGACCUGAGAGGGUGAUCGGCCACACUGGAACUGAGACACGGUCCAGGCUCCUACGGGAGGCGGCAGUAGGGAAUCUUCCGCAAUGGGCGAAAGCCUGACGGAGCAACGCCGCGUGAGUGAUGAAGGUCUUCGGAUCGUAAAACUCUGUUAUUAGGGAAGAACAAAUGUGUAAGUAACUAUGCACGUCUUGACGGUACCUAAUCAGAAAGCCACGGCUAACUACGUG
rnacentral:rRNA from 1 species